AUCAAGAAGAAGAAAAAGUGGAGAGCAAGAAAACGGAAGAGACAGCAGGAAAAAGAACCGGCAGUGGACGUAGGAAGAGCCGAAGAACUCCAAGUAGCCCCACAGCCGGCAGCGGGAGAGGAGGGCAGCGAUGGUCCACACCUCCCAGCAGGUACUGUGUGUGGUAGCUUGGAGAGAAUCUCUGCUGGGUCAGUGGAGAAGAUGGAACCUCCUCUACUUGAGGACUUCCACUCCACAAAGGCCAUUCCUGGAGCCAGCAAUGAUCCAGCAGGAAAUUUGCUGGAUCAGAUCGAGGCUGAAGCCGAGGCCGAGGCCAUUAAAGCGCUCAUGUCCACUGACCUGGAUGAGGAGGCGGACAACAACCAACCUCUGGGUAAGAAAUGGAAAUUAAUACCUGCCAAAAUAAAAAAACAAUGCUAAGAUGAAUUAGUCCAGCACUGACCACCAAACAUCCACAUGACCGUUCAAUUAUCAAUAUCAGUAAAAAAGUUGAUCAACUACCAACAAUAUAUUUCACAAAGCAGCUCUUUAAAAAUGUCAAUGAUUAAAUCGUGUUAUUGAAAACUUUGCAGAGAAUCAGACGACGAGCAGUGAAGCAGAAGCCAUCGAACAACUGAUGGAAGCCUUACUGCAGGAGGUUGAGGCACACAGCGCCGCUCUGACUGAAACAGAAGAACUGAUGAACGACGUUCCUGCAAAUGAAGUCAAAGCAGAGGAACAAGAGAGAAACAUCAGCUCAGAGACAUGUGAGACAACUGAAGCAGACAAAGAAGACCUCUCUACGCGAAUAUCAGGAGACAGAGGCAUCCAAGUGGGAGGUGUCGAUCAGUCGCGACACCAGCAAGCAUUUGGAGAGAAAAGAACUCUGUCAGAGAACUCAGGACCCUGUGAAAGAGCACCGGAAACGGAUCCUCAGGAGCAGAGGAGGGCGCAGAGAAAGGAGGGUAGGAGAGAGUCAUGCCACUGGACAGUUAAACAUGCUCUGAAGACCCUACAAGCCCCUCCCGAGGAAAAGAGUGCUCCACAGAGGGAGUACAGAACACAGCCUGAGAACCCAAGAAGCUGUGUACGAGCACCUAACACUGAUCCUCAGCAGCAGAGGAGGGCGCAGAGAAAGGAGGGUAGGAGAGAGUCAUGCCACUGGACAGUUAAACAUGCUCUGAAGACCCUACAAGCCCCUCCCGAGGAAAAGAGUGCUCCACAGAGGGAGUACAGAACACAGACUGAGAACCCAAGAAGCUGUGUACGAGCACCUAACACUGAUCCUCAGCAGCAGAGGAGGACACAGAGGAAGGAGGAUAGGGGGGAGGUGCGUCAUUGGACAUUUAAAUAUGCUCUGAAGACCCUCCAAGCCCCUCCUGUCAGUGCUCCACAGACAGACAGUAGAGAGUGUCUCAGAGUCAGAACAGCUGACAUCAGGCAGAAGACCCAUCCCACACCACCAAACAAGCCGAGAGACAGAGGAUGUCGAAAGGGCGAGUAUGGGAGAGGAGCUGCCCAGGGCUGGCAGAGCGAGUCCUGUUGCCAGAGGAGGGACGCUCCACGAACUCCUUCAAACAACGGAGGACGUGUGAGCGAGAGAGGAAAGAGAGGAAAUCCCGCUCAGUGUACCCCUGCACGCACUGAGAGGAAUCAACGGACUGUGAGAGAACCCAACUGGCAGCAGCACGAAGACCGCUCUGCAGAACCUGAAGAGAGAGAGACCAGAGACAGAGGCCAGAAAAAGAAAUGGUCAAAUGGAAACAGGCAGUGGAGGAGUGGGAGAAGACCGGAUGCCUCACAUUGACCAGUGAAAAACCCACAGAAGGUGAAGCACAGGUCAUUAAAGAUCUAGUGCUCACUGACCUACAGAGACACAGACUGACAGACUGACUCAGACUAGAACUCCACCUCUACACUACAACCAAACCAAUCAUCACAAACAGCUGCUGCUUAUUCAUGGUAAAGCAGGAGAUGAGAUGCUUGAGGUGGUGCCCACAGGAGAUGAAGCACGGGUCAUUAAAUCUGCUAUUAAUAUUAUUAGUAUAAUCAUUUGUAGGUAGCUUGACCAGAGGAGGAUGGGUCCCCCCCUGGUGAGCCUGGUUCCUCCCAAGGUUUCUUCCUCAGCUCUGAGGGAGUUUUUCCUUGCCACUGUCUGCCUUGGCUUGCUCACCUGGGGGUUUUUACACUUCUUGUUAAAACUCUUUCUUUUCUGGAAUUCUGUGAAGCUGCUUUACGACAACAUCCGUUGUAAAAAGCGCUACACAAAUCAAUUUGAUUUGAUUUGUUUAAAGAUCUAGUGCUCUUUGACCUACAGAUACACAGACUGACAGACUGACUCUGACUAGAACUUCAACUCUGCACUACAAUCAAACAAAUCCAUCUCUCAAACAGCCAUCCCACCGGAGAGAAAUCAACAGAACAACACUUUUAAAGCUUAAAGCCAAUAAAAGACUAACAGCAGACUCUGUU
ensembl:lncRNA